rnacentral:sRNA from 1 species
AAUAUUUAAUGUUAGUAGUAUUGUGUUGUAUGCGUCCCUUCUAACCCAAAAAACCCAUUCGCUAAGGAACGUCCCUCCUAUUUUAUCUCAUUUUUUCUUUAUUUUU